rnacentral:rRNA from 1 species
UACGAAGGGGGCUAGCGUUGCUCGGAAUCACUUGGCGUAAAGCGCACGUAGGCGGAUUGUUAAGUCAGGGGUGAAAUCCUGGAGCUCAACUCCAGAACUGCCUUUGAUACUGGCGAUCUCGAGUCCGGGAGAGGUGAGUGGAACUGCGAGUGUAGAGGUGAAAUUCGUAGAUAUUCGCAAGAACACCAGUGGCGAAGGCGGCUCACUGGCCCGGUACUGACGCUGAGGUGCGAAAGCGUGGGGAGCAAACAGG